UGCUACCUUUUUUAACCAUUUCUCUUUUUCACCUUUCUAGUUGUCAUUGACAUGUUUACAGCUUUAUGACAAUUAUUACUGCAAAGCCAACACAACAUUCUCAUUAGCACAAGAGCAUAUGAACCACAUAAAUAUAUUCAUCCCAAAAUUUAUAUUCCACUUUUUCUUUUUUAUUUUACAGCCAAUGAAAUUGCCUUUUUUUUCCUCACUAAAUCCCAUACUUAAAAUAUGUCACAAUAUGAACCUUUAGUUACUUUAUUCCUAUUGGCUGAGCUACGUAAAACGAAGAGUUAUCAGUUAAACACCCUUCGUCAAAAAAUAUACUACUUAGUAUAGAUAAGAGAAAAUCAUACUACAUAUAUAGGGUAACAUGCACUAGGCAAAUCUGGUGCAACGAACUCGACUCAAAAGGCAAACGGGAAUUUCGAACUUGAGACCUUCAACAUAAUAUGAAUUACGUAAUUAAACAUAUUCCACUAAUGCAUUAAAGUUUUAUCCAAUAUACAAAACGAAUUUUGUUGAACACUUAGUAUCAUCUAUCAAGGUUGAAGGUAUGAAUUUAUUUAAAGAAACAAUUUUUGCACCAUACCUAAAGAUACCUAUAUGCAAUUACCAAGGCCAAAUUACUAAGUGUUUAUACUUGUUAGAGAUUGAGCAUGAUAAUUUAGAUGAAGAGAUUCACAUUCGCCAUGCCAAAGGGAAUGUGUUGAAAUUUAGUAUCGAAAUAUUCAUAUUUGAAAAAUCAGAAUUGGCCUUUCAGAGUUUUUUUAAAGCAGAAUAGUGUUUUUUUUUUUGAAUGACUAUUUUAAAAUUUUUAAAUUGAAUAAAAUUGAAUGUAGUAAUUUGGAAGCAGGGAAGGAAAAUCAUUAAAUUAAAUGAUUAUUUAAUGUAGUAAUUUCUGAAGCAAUUUUUACGGUCAUUUAGUUACAAGAUUAACAUAAAUCAAUUGAAUGGAAAUCAGUUACCCAUGAUUUUAGCUCUAACAGUUACCGAAAAAAAAUUUCAGUCAUUUAUAUUCAUUUAUA